UGCCCAGCGCAGCCCAGAAGUGGCACAGAGGACAUGCUCUGUGCACCUCUCAGGGAUCAAGGAAUAGCUGAUGCAAAUCCACAAAGGAAAACAGCUGCUUCCCGGCCAGGCAGAAGAGAAGAAGUCUUACCCCAUUUUGCAGCCACAAGCCUCAGCGGUGCCACAGUGCAAGCCCAGGAAAGAGCAGAACAGAGGCUGGGCCCCUCGGCACGAGCCAGAGUUGGGGGCUGAAGGCAGUAGCAGCCAGGCCAGCCCUGCAUCUGCUCUCCCCAGCCCCAAAUGAGGGUCAGUUACAAAGAAGAGGAAAAGGCGUUCCUGAUAUGCGUCCUGUUUCCUCUCCUCCUCUGGGCUUCUUGUGCUAAAGAAGCGGAUGUCUCCAGGCUGGCAAGACUUGACCUGCUCGCAGCCAGCCAGGGGUGAGGGUCUCUCCGAGCCUUCCCCCACCUCAGAAGCACAGGCAACUCAGAGAUGCGGGGAUGCAUUUCUUGAAUGACCCGUCCUCAGUGCAGGGAGCCUCUGCAUUUUAAUCCUUUGAGAGAGAAGUCAUAGGCAGCACCUGACUCUACCAUAAAGGCACCUCCACCAGGAAGCCUUCCAUCCCACUCUCGAUUGCUGCAGGAAUCCCUCUACAGUCUCCUGACUUCGAUUCUGUACCCAUCUGCCCAAUUCAGUCUUUACCUGCUCUCCGUGGGAGCUGGACUCUCUAGGAGUCAGGCAAAGUGGAAAUGACAAAGUCAGAGCUCAUCUAAUGCAUGGGGUUUCUUGGAUAUGAGGACAAACUGUGCCUGCUCUAUCGUAUAGGAGUCCUUCCUGAGGGAGAAGGUCAGGCUCAAACCAGCAUCUCCCUGAGGGGAGUGGCCAUGACUCCUCUAUCAGACUGGAUGCUCCUAAAGGACAAAGGUCAUGCGUCUAUCCUUGGACAAGAGGACUACUGCACUUGUAGGUAAUAGAGAGUUCCAAGGAGCUGAAUUGUCCCAUCACACCAGAAUUCCUCUCCAGACAGACAGGGUGUGCCUCCUCCUCCUCCAUCAGACCAACAGCUCUGAGAGGACAUGGUCUCCACAUAUAGCCUCCACAGCAGCUCCAGAACAGACCGGUUCAGACUAAGACAGAGGUAGACUCCCUUCUAGGGAAGAAGUGGAAGGAAUCUUGCCCAACUUCACAUGGCAACUUCUAACCCGCUCCUCAACUGAACUGAAACUGCCAUGUGAUACUUAAGACAGCCAGUCAAAAGUCUGGGCAGAGGCUAUCAACUGUCAAUCAGGAUUAUCAACUUCUGAGGGGAUGGUGGCAGUGGUGGGAGGUGUCCCUGAAAAAAGGGGGUGCCAUCCUAGACUCCUCUUUGAAAGCAACACUGGCCUUCCCUGAGUGAUGCCCCUGCCUCUGAUUCAAACAGCCUUCAUGUUCUCUUCCCUAACUCCACCAGUUCCAGGGGUUGCUAUGAACCAACAUUAGUUCACAGAGUGAUUGCAGUACCUCUUAUGAACUCAGCCUUGUGUAUCCCAAGAGCAAGAGGUAGAAGCAAAGGCCAAGGACCCCAGGCUACGGGUAGACUCGGGAAGCUGAAGGUCUGAAACCAGACCUCAAGAUCACGGCCCAAGCAGCCCAGAGGCAGCAGGACUGAAUGUCAGCUGAAUGCACGUUCAGCAAGGUGGCCGGACUCCGGUGAUAAUCUGAGCCUUCUCUUGCUCAGAAAUUAUUACAAACAGAUGCCUCACCAUUUACUACAAGUUGGCACUAUUCUAAAUACCACAUUAGCUCAUCUAACGCGCACCGAGAAGCCUGCACUGUGAUUAUGACCCUCCUACAAACACCACUUGAUAUUCUUACUGUCUCCAACUGGAAACUAACACAUGGGUUGAAGAGUUCACCCCAAGUAACGGACAACGUAAGUAAAUGAACAACGUAAGCAGUUUGAACAAAUUCAAAAGUCAAAAGGAGGGCCUAGGAGAUGGCUCAGAGGGGCGGGGGUGCUUGUUGCCGAGGCUGGGACCAACGUGGAUGAAAGAAAAGCCUGACCCCCCUCCAUGUAAUUCAAUCCCUCCCCCCCCCCAUACUAAAUAAAUGUGAAAGCUGGAAGGUGGUGGAUGCUCAGCUCAGCGGCAGAGCUCCUGUCUGGCACAUGGAUCCCCCGUACCGCUAGCCCAAAACUAAAACCUGAUUCAGUGCUUCUGAAUAGGACAAGGAUUGAAUACUUCUAAAAGACACAACUCAUCCCAUUUCUGUUCCGAUCUAUACACUUCCUCAUGGACACAGAAUGGUACAGCUCAGGGUGUGAUGGGGUCUCUAAAAGAACAGCACAGAAAUGCAAAGCACGAUGCUUCCCAGACAUCUUAAGCCAUGGGUAACCUCUUCAAAGUGUUUGUCUUUUUAACUAUGUAGCCCGGGAUGACCUUGAAGUUCUCAUCUGCCUGGGUCUAUCUGUCAAGUGCUUACAGCUGUGGUUCAUCACAUCCAGUUUAUGUGAUGCUGGGGACAAACUCAGCUUUGUGCAUGCUCAGCCAACAGUCUAACAACUGAGCCACAUCCCUGCCUUAUCGUUUAUUAUCUACUUAUCUAUUUAUUUACUUAUUAACAUGGUCUACUUAUAGAGCCCAGGCUGGACUUGAACUCAAGACCCUCCUCCUGUCUCUGCCUUCUGAGUGCUAGGGUUACAGGCUUGAGUCACCACACCCAGCUCUUUGGAAACUUUGAGUGAUUUUUAUUAAAAUUUAAAGAAC
rnacentral:lncRNA from 1 species